rnacentral:rRNA from 1 species
AUACGGAGGGUGCGAGCGUUAAUCGGAAUUACUGGGCGUAAAGGGUGCGUAGGCGGCUUGAUAAGUCGGAUGUGAAAGCCCCGGGCUUAACCUGGGAAUUGCAUUCGAUACUGUCAGGCUAGAGUAUGUCAGAGGUUGGCGGAAUUCCUGGUGUAGCGGUGAAAUGCGUAGAUAUCAGGAGGAACACCAGUGGCGAAGGCGGCUAACUGGGACAAUACUGACGCUGAGGUACGAAAGCGUGGGGAGCAAACAGGAUUAGAUACCCUAGUAGUCC